ACGAACCCCUGUCCCCUACAUCGGCAGGCGGACUGUCAACCACUGUGCCACCAGGGAAGCCCUGUUACAAACUUUUGACAUUCAUACUCUUUAAGAAUCAAAGCUAUGGGAGCAGCUGGGCCUCCCAAGAGGCAGUUUCACAGGGACUGCGUGUUACUAGAGAGUCAUAUACACCCAUGUGGCCUUUGGAAAGCCUGCCGAUUAUGAAUUCCAUGGUAUUGAAUAAUCCUUGAGCCUCCCAGUACGUCAUUGAGCAAUAAUUUCUUUACCACCCUAGCAUUUGGUACCUGCUCUUUGUAAAGGCAGGAGAAGAGACUGGAAAAAUGAGCAAUAUUGUUCUUCGGGGACGGGUGAUUAAUGUGGCCAGCGGGCAGGCAACCACCUCCCGGGAACAAGAACGAGGUCCGUGUGCCUUCUGAGAGCACCUGGGCUAUUCUGGGACAGUCUCUAUGAUGCAAGGACCCGGUGACCAAGGCAGGAUCCUUGUGUUUACCAUCAGCAGCAGCCUUGCUUUUCAGCAAAUGGAAGAACUCUUUGCUGUCAUGGGAGGAUAGCGGGAGCAGCGGAUGGGUGGCUACAGCCCCUGACCCUAAGUGAAUCCCUUCCUACUUUGUGCUUCCGAUUCUGUGCCAUGCAGUGGACUGUCAGUGAUACGGAAUCUGCCGCUUUUGCCGAGCCAGCAUCUGUCCUCAUGUCCAGCUGCAGCACCUCAGCUUUCCUUUUGGAACUACAUCUCACCUGCUUCCAGUCCAAACAGUUUCAGGGGGCUGACCUUAUAUUCCACCCACCUAGAAGAUGGCUGUGUGAUCCACAUCUAGCCAAUCCCAUUUUUCAUCCUCUGCUUGCUCUGAUCGGUUCAAGGGUGAGAAUGUGACCCAAGCCAGGCCAAAGGCAUUCAAAGUCAUGAGUUUUCAUGGAACCCUAGGGAAGGAGAAACCCUUCCUGGUAGAAUGGAUGUUGUGUGGGUGUCAUCUUGGAGUUGCUGGUGGCUGUGGAUGCAGUGAGAGAGACUGUGCCGGUGAAUGGGACCACCCCAAAGCAUUCAGCAGGACUCAUUCAGCAGGACACACUACAAGAACGUGAGCCGUUGGACCUGACACCUCCAAACCCACUCUUCAGUUUGUCUCUUUUCUGCCUGCAGGGAGCGCUGUCACCAGUGAACUGUGAGUGAGGCGCGGCCUGCAGUUCCGGGACUGUCCACAGGGGGGCCAAGCCCACCUCGGUGACCCACGGCCCAUGCGCAUUCCACCUGGGACUUGGCUCUGCGCGCCUGAAAGGAAUUCUGUUGCCUCAGGCACCCGCUUGGGCCUGGGAUGCCUCGCUGACAGCGUCCCUGCCAACAGGAGCUCAGUCUCCUUAGGGCUCGCUGGGGUUCAGCUUCAGAACAACAUAGGACUGCGUCCACGCAGACUGCAGCUGAGUUUCCUUACGACCGGGAGGAAAAGGUCAUCCACAACACGGAAGAAAGUGGCUCCUAAUAUAAUCUUCCCACAGUGCCUCUAAAUUACGUGUGGACUUUGGGUGAACUGGAUCUGGUGGUUUCUGCAGGCUUGCCAGCUUGGAGCAUGGGCUCCACUGAACUGAGAGGUUGUGGCCUGCACUUCCCAGUUGGCCAGCCAGGAGGUGGUACGCCCACCUUGCUGAUCCUUGAGGUGCAUAUGUGCUCCACUGAUGAACUUGGCUCGUGAAGGAACGUGGCUUCUCGAAGGAACGUGGCUUCUCAUGCUGCUGAUUGAAGUUCAGUCUCUUCAGGAUCCGCCAUGGUUUCAGCAUUGGGACAACACUGUUGAGUCCAUGCAGGCAGGAACCAGAUGUCUUCAGGAACUGCCAGGAGGCACCACCGUGGGAGUAAAAGCUUGUGAGAUCUUGGUUCCCAGGCCGGAAGUCGGGCCUGAGCUGCUGUGGUAAGAGCACAGAGUCCAAACUGCUUGACUACCAGAGAACCUCAGACCCCAGGGAAUAUUAAUCAGAGUGAGGUCUCCCAGAGGGUCCUCAUCUCAGCACCAAGACCCAGCUCUACCCAACUGCCUGCAAACUCCAGUACUGGAAGCCUCAGGCCGAAAAAACAGGAACACAGUCCCACCCAUCAAAA